UUUAAUGAGAGUUUGAUCCUGGCUCAGGACGAACGCUGGCGGCGUGCCUAAUACAUGCAAGUAGAACGCUGAGGUUUGGUGUUUACACUAGACUGAUGAGUUGCGAACGGGUGAGUAACGCGUAGGUAACCUGCCUCAUAGCGGGGGAUAACUAUUGGAAACGAUAGCUAAUACCGCAUAAGAGUAAUUAACACAUGUUAGUUAUUUAAAA
rnacentral:rRNA from 1 species